rnacentral:rRNA from 1 species
CAAUAGCGUAUAUUAAAGUUGUUGCGGUUAAAAAGCUCGUAGUUGGAUUUCUGCCGAGGAUGACCGGUCCGCCCUGUGGGUGUGCAUCUGGCUCAGCCUUGGCAUCUUCCUGAAGAACGUAGCUGCACUUGACUGUGUGGUGCGGUAUUUAGGACAUUUACUUUGAGGAAAUUAGAGUGUUUCAAGCAAGCGCACGCUUUGAAUACAUUAGCAUGGAAUAAUGGAAUAGGACUACGGUCUCUUUGUUGGUUUGAGGGACUGCAGUAAUGAUUAAUAGGGAUAGUUGGGGGCAUUAGUAUUUAAUUGUCAGAGGUGGAAUUCUCGGAUUUGUUAAAGACUAACUUAUGCGAAAGCAUUUGCCAAGGAUGUUUUCAUUAAUCAAGAACGAAAGUUAGGGGAUCAAAGAUGAUUAGAU